UAGGGAAUCUUCCACAAUGGACGAAAGUCUGAUGGAGCAACGCCGCGUGAGUGAUGAAGGGUUUCGGCUCGUAAAACUCUGUUGUUGGAGAAGAACGGGUGUCAGAGUAACUGUUGACAUCGUGACGGUAUCCAACCAGAAAGCCACGGCUAACUACGUGCCAGCAGCCGCGGUAAUACGUAGGUGGCAAGCGUUGUCCGGAUUUAUUGGGCGUAAAGCGAGCGCAGGCGGUUUUUUAGGUCUGAUGUGAAAGCCUUCGGCUUAACCGGAGAAGUGCAUCGGAAACCGGGAGACUUGAGUGCAGAAGAGGACAGUGGAACUCCAUGUGUAGCGGUGAAAUGCGUAGAUAUAUGGAAGAACACCAGUGGCGAAGGCGGCUGUCUGGUCUGCAACUGACGCUGAGGCUCGAAAGCAUGGGUAGCGAACAGGAUUAGAUACCCUGGUAGUCCAUGCCGUAAAACGAUGAGUGCUAAGUGUUGGAGGGUUUUCCGCCCUUCAGUGCUGCAGCUAAACGCAUUAAGCACUCCGCCUGGGGGAGUACGA
rnacentral:rRNA from 1 species